UGCUGGGAUUACAGGCGUGAGCCACUGUGCCCAGCCGGGACAUCGACUUUUUGAUGACAGGAGUGUCAAAGAAUUUGCAGACAUGUUUUAAAACUACAACACUUAGGGUAACCAUAUAACUCACUGUCCAAAGCAAGAUACUUUUGAGAGUCAAAGUGGGCACUUUUGAGAGUCAAAGUGGGCACUUUUCAGGCAUGAGCUAGGACUGUCCUUGGGAAACCAAGACGUGUGGUCACCCCACUGCCAUGCCCGCACGAGUGGGAGCACAAGCUCUCUUAAAUUCUUUUGUCUUUCCGACAUUCAUCAUGCCAUUUGUAAACAUAUGCUUUACUCAUUGAAAUUGGUUUUAAAUUUUAUUUUCUGUUUCUUUAUUUUCUGUUUCUUGCUUUUAGAUGAUGAAUGUUAUGUUGAGGUCGCCUUUUCAUAAUGAAUCUGGAACUUGAGAGCUACAAAUCUUGCCCAACAAUAUCUUUCAUGCAAGCUGGGACAGCUGCUGGCACUGUGGAUAUAAGUGCUUAGGAUGCCUUCUCUCUUAGAUGAGAGAACCCCAAGCAAUGGAAGAAUUUGCUUCAAGAAAUGCUUUUUAAAAAUCUCACUUUUUGGCUAAGUGGUAAAAAACACACACACAGUGAUGACUCAUCAGUUGAAAUCAAAUCCUUCAUCCCAAAAAAGUGUUUUUAUAAGAAGUGGGUGUUUUUUUCUUUCCCCAAAGGCAGACUGCAUAAUAUUUGGUGCUUCUCUUUUCUGAAUAAUUUAUUCCGUUUCAGUGGAAAUUGACAGUUUCAGACUGGAGCCAAUAACAUUUUAUUUUCAGAGCUAUGCUUGGUACCCCCAUUAUCCAGGGAUCUGCUUUUGCCUACAACCCUAAGGGGAGUUCAGCCAUCAAACCGUUUCACACCAGCACAAUUCCCCUCUUCCUCCCUUCCCUUUGACCAGCUACUAACCUGUUCUUCUGAAGACCCUGGAGCAGAAUAAAUGCCUAGAGAGAGCAUUUGGAGACCGCAUCCAGCACGUGAGGACACAAGAAGAAGGCAUCUGUUUACACACCAGGAGGAGAGACCUCACAAGAACCCAAUCAUGAUGGCACUUUGAUCUUAGACCGCCAGCCUCCAGAACAGUGAGAAAAUAAAUUUCUGUUGUUUAUGC